CUAUGAUGCUGGGGAGCUGAUGCUGGGGACCUAUGAUGCAAGACUGUGUGAGUACACAGUAAGCAUAUUAUAUCCACGACUGAGCCAGCCCAGCUCAGACAGCCUGAGAGACCGCUUUCCAUUUGAACCAAAAACUUGCUUCAGAAACAGAAGGAAAGCAAUGAUGUUCUGAGAAACAUAAAGUCCAAGGAACUGUAUUAGCAAUAUCCUCUCCUUGUGAACCGUGCAGCUUUCAAACCUCUCUUCCUCCCCAAGGGUGGUUUUAAGGCCUUUUUUAACCCUGGCUCGUGGCUUCUUCGGCACUACAAUUUCUUCAAAAAAAAAUUUAAUGUGCCAGAAUCAGGGUUAGCCCCAGUCCGACUACCCGCCAAGCUCCAGGCCCAUCUUCUGCUGAGCAUGUUCUCUGGUUCCUUGUGGAUGGCUCAGCAUCAACCUGUCACAGCUGCUCAUCACUGCUAAGCUGAGUGCCGUUGACAAUCAUACAUAUAAUUUCCUGUGCGGCUCUCAGUAUCUCCAAGACCUAGGAUGCUCCUUGAGAGGUAUGAUACUAUUUUGAGUGUAUUCCUGCUUAUGUAAACGAGAGCUUUCUAGAAGAGAUAAUGGUUAUGAACACUGGCCCUUAACCAAGAAACAGAAGUUGAAUGAACUGCGGGAAGAUAAACUUCACUUUGCUGUGAUUUCAGAACUGAUAUCAGCAGGCAGUUGUCUAAAAACUAUAUUUGUUUUCCUAAUCUGCUACUUUUCACGACAAUUAUAUUUGGUAAGGAAAACAUUCUAUUGAAGAGAUGCAACAGAUUCAUCAUCCUCAUUUUUUUUUACCUGACUGUUUGCCUCGCUACAGUGGUGUCUUCCCUCUGUCACCCUCAGACUGCCCUCCCGUGACUAGCCCCUGAUACUUCAGUACCGUCCGUCCUCUUAGGCCUCAGGAUUCAACAGCUUCCUGUGCAGGAAGACUCCACCAUCCUCCGUUUUGAACACGAGCGUUUCCACGCAGCACCAUGAGCUGGUAAGGGCAGGCGUGAGUUCUGUCUUCCAAACAGAAGAUAUUUGAGUCUUUCGUAAAAUAUGACUUUGAGUGAAGCAGAGAAGGGCCUUUGAGUAUUCCAAAAACAGUUUUCUUAGUCUAGAACAAGUUCCUAGUCCUCCUCUCCUCCAGCGGUGCAGCAAGCUGAUGUCAGAUGGAGCUCCUCACAAGCACGUUGAGCCGCUUCCCUUGACGGCCUCCAGCGACCUUCUCCCCGAGGUCUCAGAGCCCUUCAUAACAUACUCCCUUCAUGGCAACAUUUAUCUCCACUCCGCACUUUUCCAUUUUUCAUCAUGUGCAACUUACACGUAUUUCUAUAUAUGAGGACUUGGCUGGGUUCACUUGGAGGCUGAGUCUCUGCUUCGGAAAGUUAAAAAUGGUUAAAAGUCUUCAGAGAUGAGGCCGAAUGUAGCUAUCAUCAUUGUUAUUGAAAUCAGCAUUUUCUUGUGCUGAGAGUCUAUGACUCUUCCAGAAUUAGCAGCAUGCAUUUUGGUCACUCUGCUUUCCGGACUCUUAACUUAGGGCUGGGACCACCAGCAUCCUGAGCCAUGCAAGCUGUGUGAGGACUUGCCUUGACACCUUUCCCCUCCCUGUUGAGACUUCUGGUCUAGGCUUUGACUUCACUAAUCUGUUAUGCCCUCUCUUUGGAUCCUGUGGAUUCUAACACUUGCUUAACUUUUUUGACUUGAAUCACUCACUUGGGUGCACACAAUUCCCAGGCCACUUCCAUACCUGGGCUCUCCCUUGAUUACCCAAUCUCGAUCUGAUGCAACUUCCCCAGGGUCCGCGUGACACUGACGCCCACCCAGCUAACUGGCUGCUCCUCGUCUCACAGACUGUCUUCUCCACCUCUCUCAGGCCAUGCUUCCCACGGCACGAGUGCAAUGGGGUCAGUGGGGUCAUUCUCUUAUCUGCGCUCUCACACUGAUAUUUCCCUUUUUUAUUUCAUCAUCUAUUGAAAACAUAAGUCUUAAAACACUGUCUAUAUCUACCUCCAAAAGCUUUUGUUUCAUGAGGAUUUUUCUCCUGUGAACACAGAAUUUUCUUUUGUCCCGUCACCUGAAGGCCUACCCUGUCUUCGUAUCCUGGCGUUUUCUUUGUUGCCUGGUUUGGAGACAGACCUUUCCUUCGUUGCUUUCUGGAGCUGACAGGCUCACCUUACCGCCAAUCCUGGGUGCAAGUUAUCAACUUAACACGAGUCAGUUAGGGUCUGUUAUUUGGGUGAAGCCUGCUGCCUGCAUUGAUUUUAUUGAAAUGCGAUUUGCUUUAAACAAGCUGAUAGCUAUGCAGAUGUUCAUAGUCACAAUGCACCAAGAUUACGUUACACUUAAGUUUAUAGUGGAUAAAAACCGACUGGAGAGGAAGAAAAUAGGAGGGCGUGCUGGUUUCUCUUGUCGUUCAGGACAGAUGCAUGUGACCACAGAAGAUAAUCUGAAGGAACACCAAUGUGAAGAGAAAAGUGAGAUGAAAAUGAAAUGAAGCUGUUAAGCCAGCACAUUAAUUCAAGUUGACUUCUCUAACUGGUGGGCCGGGGGAGUCUUAAGAGAAGCCAGAGAGAAGGAAUUCCAAUCUUCAAUACUCCAGCAUUCCCGGGUGAUGCUUUGGCUUGAGGUUAAAGAAGUCAGAGUGAACUGAGGGGAGAACAUAGACUUUGGGGACCCCUGAGUAGGUGAACACUGGUCUGACUUUGUGCAAAUGGAUGGAGACAUCUUGUCACUCCUUGAAUGUCCGUGUAAAACCCAUCUUCAGGAAGAACAAGCAGGGCUUUCUGCUGCAUAUCAGCAACGCCCCUAUGUAGUUAAACCUCACUGCUCCCAUUCAUCCCUAGAUUUUCUACCGCAUAAUAAGAACAUUUCUAAACUUUCAAAUACUGACUUCUUGUGAUGUCUAUAUUGGCCCAUACCGACAAGGAGGACCGGCAUAAGUAAAACGUAUAGCUGUGUCCUUUACUUGGAAGAUAAGAUUGUGGCAAUGGCCAAAUUAACACUAACAAGGUGCAUGUGAUGAGAACAUGCCCCCAUCCUUUAUCACAGCCCAGUGCAUACCUUGGAAAUACCUUACAUUUUAAAACAUACGGCAGAGUAUCCUUGGCUCAAAAUUUAAAAAACAAGCUUAAAGACAACCAGCUAAUUUUCUUACUAAUUGCCUAACUGUAACACUUAUGAUAUCAAUAGGCUUAGCAACUAUAGUACACCACUUCAGGUCACAUUUUAUAUGUAAAAAAAAAUAUUCGUUGACUAAAGUUGUUUUUUUCUAGGCCUGGUUAAUUGUUGCCAUCCUCUGUGUCUGUGAGCCCUUCGUGACUUACAUAACAAAUGUGAUUAAUCUGUGUGCCUAUUAAUUAAAAUGCCAUGUAUGUAGUCUCUUUGUUCAGGGAUUUCAAACUUUCUCUCUUCUAUAGGAUAGUUAAUAUAUAAAGUACAUUAAGGGAUUCGCAAUUACCAUUUAAAACUCAUUAUUGGCAGUGUUUAUCAGCAAUACAAUGAAGUUAUAAAGGCAUCUAUGUGCUUCUUUUACUAUCCAGCUUUGUGCAGUUGUCUGUAAAAACAAAUUCUCCAGAUUUAACAAGGAAAAUUUCAUUGCUAAUUAGAUUUAGAAAAGAGCCUGGAAACUAAUGGAAAAAAUGAAUUUAAUGGAGGGGGCAAUUAGUCCAAAACUAUCCAUAAAAUCUUUACUGCUACCAUGUAAGGUAUAGUUUUCAGUUUAAUUUUCUAUAAUGUUUGUUAAACAUUGCUUUCAAUAAUGUAUAAGUGAGUACAAAAGUAACUGGUGGGGAAAAGCAUGGAAUGGACUUCUCAUCUAUGUGGAAAGAGUGCCCUCAUAUUUGUGUAUAUUUUAGAGAAUUUACACUUAUUAUCCUGUAAUUUAAAGAUUUUUAUCAUAGUAUUUGGUAGAAAAGUCUAUAGUUUUGAAAUGAGUGGCACGGCACUUUGGCAGUAGAUGGCACUGUCGUCAUUUCCUAACAACGCGGCCGAGGCCCACAGGAGCUCGGGUUCCCUCCAAGAAGGGGACAGAAGCUACCAUCCAAGAAUCACUCUUGAAAGUCAUUAUUAAUUUGAAACGGCAUCAAAGUUUCAUUCUUCUGCCACUCUCAGUUUUAAAAGAACAAAAUUUCCCUCACACCUUUGCUAUUAUCUGCUCCAUUGGUGGAGCCUAGAAUUCUUUGGUGUGUAAUGAUUUUCUUUUACGUGAUUUUGGGGCUUUUGCUGGCACAACAGAACAAAGUCUUACAGAAAUGACACUGAGGAAAAUCUCUCUCUUCAGGAUAAGGAUAAUGAUACUCUUUAUUCAUCUUUGAUGUGUAUUAUCCGUUUUCAAUAGCAUUGCAUGUAUAACAUACCAGGGCCGUAAGGUCAGAGUCGACCCAGUUUUCAUUAGGAAGAUGAUCUGUAUUUACAUUUUGUUACAAAUUACUGAAAUUACCACCCACCAGCUUUUUCAUCAAUCUGAAAUCCAUUUACCGCUACUUUUUAUGCUAAAACAAAUAAAACAGUAAUAGCAACGAGAACAGCAAAAACUUCGUUUGCUUCUUUUCCCUGCAAUGGUUGUGCUGUUUCUAUUGUGCAGCUUAAUACCAAGUCAGCCAUUAGUCACUAAUGGAACAGUAGCUUGAUAAGGUGGAUGUUAUUGACGGGCACAAAUGGAUUUCUAAGCAUUUCUCUCAAACUCCUUGCUAAUGUUCCUUUUAUAGACCAAUUAAGCAUGUCCAUCCUUUCUUGCAAUUUUUUGCUUUUGCUCCCAUCAGAAAGACAGGGUUUGCCAUCCUAGAAUUUUCUUUUUACUUUAAUCGUGGAGAUCUAGUUUGCCUUCCUGGAAUUUUAUGGUGGGUUGAUGGUGUGAAAUAAUGCAUCCGCAAAAGAGUAAUUUGGAGACAACUCCAGGGAGAUUACCUAUUUUUGUUUUAUUUGCCAUAUGCUUCCUUCUAACUCAGAAAAUUGGUGAAUGACUAUUAUAUCUGGG
ensembl:lncRNA